CAUGAACAUUCUGUUGUCCAACUGGUGAGCAUCCAUACCCUAAUGUAGGACACCAGAGUCUUGAUCCCCUUUGAGAACACCCAAAACUGAAUUGUGGUGACGGUCACAAACACAACCAUCCACGCACAGAGACCCAGAUCACAGCUAAAUAUCCGAUCACUACUGUGGCUGGUUUGUUGGCCCAAGACAAAAGUAUA